ACGGAAGGCAGCAGUGGGGAAUAUUGGGCAAUGGGCGAAAGCCUGACCCAGCAACGCCGCGUGAAGGAAGAAGGUCUUCGGAUUGUAAACUUCUUUUAUGAGGGACGAAGGACGUGACGGUACCUCAUGAAUAAGCCACGGCUAACUACGUGCCAGCAGCCGCGGUAAUACGUAGGUGGCAAGCGUUAUCCGGAUUUACUGGGUGUAAAGGGCGCGUAGGCGGGGAUGCAAGUCAGAUGUGAAAUCUAUGGGCUUAACCCAUAAACUGCAUUUGAAACUGUGUCUCUUGAGUGUCGGAGAGGUAGAUGGAAUUCCUUGUGUAGCGGUGAAAUGCGUAGAUAUAAGGAUGAACACCAGUGGCGAAGGCGAUCUACUGGACGAUAACUGACGCUGAGGCGCGAAAGCGUGGGGAGCAAGCAGGAUUAGAUACCCUGGUA
rnacentral:rRNA from 1 species